rnacentral:rRNA from 1 species
GGAUUAGAUACCCUGGUAGUCCACGCCGUAAACGUUGUGCACUAGGUGUGGGAGGUAUUCGACCCCUUCCGUGCCGCAGCUAACGCAUUAAGUGCACCGCCUGGGGAGUACGGUCGCAAGACUGAAACUCAAAGGAAUUGACGGGGGCCCGCACAAGCGGUGGAGCAUGUGGUUUAAUUCGAGGCAACGCGAAGAACCUUACCCGGGCUUGACAUCCCGAGACCGCCGUGGAAACACGGUUUUCCCUUCGGGGACUCGGUGACAGGUGUUGCAUGGCUGUCGUCAGCUCGUGCUG